GCGGGCCCGGAGUUCGGGGCGCCUGCGCAGUGCGGGCGCUGGGAGGGCCUCCCGAGCGGCAGAGCUGACUGCGGGAAGCGGGACCUGCGGCCCGCAGUCUUACUUGCAGCAGGGUCGCGUAAGCUUGCUCGCUUGGCACAUCCCUCGUGUUUUCCAGCGGAGAGCUUGGGAUGUGGUAAUGUCAGCCAGACUUUUCAGAGCCCUGGCCGGAUCUCACUGUAUUUUAUCAAAAGUGUAUCAGUGCCAAAGACUUGCUCAUCGAACGUUAAAACCACUUAAGGAAUUUGAGACUACAAUAUGCAGCACCAUGACGAGAAGCCAGAACUUGGAUUUAUUCUUUCCUGAGACAGCAGCGGGUGAUUUGAGUAAGUCCCAGGUCCUGGAAACAAGUCAGAAAAUACCAAAUACAAACAUACUGUCUCCAUUAAAUGCUGCACAUUGCCAGGGUGAAAAAGUGCACCUUCCGACCAGGAAAUCGUUUAGUACUCACAGGAAAGUGACUCACAAACCAAAUCUAUUAGGUUCUAAGUGGUUUAUAAAAAUACUAGAGCGGCAGUACUCAUCUAUAUCAACGGAAACAGUUGUUCCUAAACAAGACUUUCCGCAAAUCAAGAGACCACUGAAAGCGUCGAGGACCAGGCAGCCAUCCAGGACCAACCUUCCAGUUCUCUCUGUGAAUGAGGACCUGAUGCACUGCACAGCGUUUGCAACUGCAGACGAGUAUCAUCUUGGAACUCUCUCUCAAGAUCUGGUCUCCCACGGAUAUGUUGAAGUAACAAGCUUGCCUAGAGAUGCAGCAAAUAUUUUGGUGAUGGGUGUGGAACAUUCUGCGAAAGAAGGUGAUCCUGGAACAAUAUUCUUCUUCAGAGAAGGAGCUGCUGUGUUCUGGAAUGUGAAAGACAAAACUAUGAAGCAUGUGAUGCAAGUCUUAGAAAAACAUGAAAUCCAGCCCUAUGAAAUCGCACUGGUGCACUGGGAGAAUGAAGAGCUUAACUACAUCAAAACAGAGGGACAGUCAAAACUUCAUAGAGGGGAAAUCAGGUUAAAUUCGGAGCUAGAUUUAGAUGACGCCAUUCUAGAGAAAUUUGCUUUCUCAAAUGCCCUUUGUCUUUCAGUGAAACUGGCUAUUUGGGAGGCAUCACUGGACAAAUUUAUUGAGUCUAUUCAGUCAAUUCCAGAGGCUUUAAAAGCUGGGAAGAAAGUGAAACUAUCUCAUCAAGAAGUUAUGCAGAAAAUGGGUGAACUCUUUGCCCUGAGACACCGUAUAAACUUGAGUUCAGACUUCUUGAUCACUCCCGAUUUCUACUGGGACAGAGAAAACCUGGAACAACUUUAUGAUAAAACUUGUCAGUUCCUUAGCAUUACUCGUAGAGUUAAGCUCGUGGCGGGACCACCAGCCUCAUCUCUCUGUCAGUCAAGCAGAAAAUUGAAAUGCAUGGUGGUUUCCUCUUUCUACUUCAUUCACCCUCCACGUCCAGGCACACCGUCUUUCGUUUUCUCCUACGAAUCCAUUCAUUGACAGAUCCUUCUUGAAAGUCCAGAUGACAGGCCCUGGGCUGGUGACCACACUGGGGGGGGCGGGGGUGGAGGGGGUUACAAUGCUGACGCCUCCCUUCUAGGCCCCACCUGUAACACUCCCCGGACUGUUCCCAUACCUUCUUCGCUGGACCAUUUAGCUGGAAGGCAGAGAUGUCUCCUCUGCCCGGCACAGUAUAGUAAAUACGACAUUUGAAGACGGAACAAAGGACCCGCAGCGCCUACAGAAUAAAAUCCCAACGUUACCGCGCGGUGGAGGUUUCUCUUGUGCUGUAACGAGUUGCCGCAAACUGGCUUACCGUAAAUGCAUCGGAUUACAGCCCUGUGGGUCAGAAGUCUGACGGGAGAGUCACUGAGGCAAAAUCAAGGUGUGGCAGGACUGCGUUCCUUUCAGGAGGCGCUGGGCAGGAAAAGGCUUUCCUUGCCUUCUCCGGCUCCUAUAGGCUGCCCACGUCCCUUGGCCUGCAGCCCCUGCCACGCAGCAGAGGCGAGUUGGGGCCUCAUGUGGCAUCACUUGAAGCUCUUCUUGCCAUUUCCACCGUGACUACGCUGAACCCCACCUCCCCCAAUAAUCUAGGUUUAUCUCCCUGUCUUAAGGUCAGCUGAUCAGCGUUUUUUCUAUAUGCAAUUGUAACUCUCCUUCUCCAGGCCGUGUGCGUAAAUCCCAGGGAUCAGGGUGUGAAUGCCCGUGGGGUAUCGUUAUUGUGCCUACAGCAUACGGUCUACAGUAUCUCUCACAGUUGGGCACUAACUUACCUUUUUAACCUCACUUCCAAGUAUUUCCAAGUAUCCAGCGUGCUGUGCGUCCAUGCGGUUUCCUGUGUGAGGUGCUUUCCCCAGGUCCCCUUCCUGUAGCUCCCCGCCCUCUCCUCCCAGCACCUACCUGUUUAGAGCCCACUUUGCAUUUACCACCUCUGUAUACCAUCCCUGUGUUCUCCCUCGUGUGUGCAUGUAACGUGAAUGACGCUGUAGCGAAAUGAAGUAGGAAGCGUGCGCUAGUGGGGACUCCCUUGCACAAACCACGGGAAAAGUUUCAGCGCUGCUUUUAUCACCGUGUACUGCCGAGAAAAACCAGGCUGGAGUGUGGGAGCAAGGCAUGUCUCGCACAGACCCAAACGGGUCACUCGGGACUCUCUCCUGAGCACCUUCUGUGCCAGGUUGGCCUCCUUCUUGCCUCUCCGUGGCCUUCUCUGGGGAAUGGGGGGAAACAGGUGUGGGGAGAGGGAAUGUCCAAGUUGACAUUUCGGUCUGCCUGGCAACUUCAAGGGAUUGGGACAGGUGUCCAAGCUUUGACCAGCCGUGCGGUGAGAGAACUGGGCAUUAUGGUCGGCUAAGCCCGGGUCUUCUCCCCAGCUCUUCCACCCUGGGGCCUUGGGGAGGAGGCCUGGGGAAGGUGCCAGGUGGGUGCUGACAUCAUGAUGGGCAGUAUCCCACGGUUGAAACUCGUGCAAGAGGAACCCCCCAAGGUGGGGGGCAGGAGGGGAGGGUGCCGCGUGGACAGCAGAGGAUUGUGAGGCAGAAUGAAGUGCCUGACACCAGGGGACAGGGUGCUGUAGGGGCACCGAGGAAAGAGCGGGCUGGAAGGCUUUCUGAAGAUUGCUCAGGACCCCACCAUCUAAAAUGCAACUGGACCACAUGAUCGGGGAUAAUGUUAUCAAGAAGGCAAUGAACGGUAAAAUGCUUACAAAGCUGUUGAACAGCUGUUUAGAAUGAAAACUGAUGCUGCGGGGGGGUGGGGGGGGGCGGGGAGGGGGCGACGGCGAUGGAUCCCUUCUUGAAUAAUGAAUAGUUGAUGAAGACCUACCUCUGUAGUACUAAGGAAUGCUAAGUAAGGAGUAGAUUUAAGACUGUCCACGGAGGGGCUAACCGUAGGGAGUGGGGAUUAGAGAUCAAACAUCUCCACCCCAGGUGACUGGGAAGAUAAGGACCUGAUUGGAAACCCAAGGCAAGGGAUAGAUUUGAACAGGAUGUCAGUUUUCAUUUGAGAAACAUUAAAUUUGAGGUGUGGGCAGGAGACCCAGAGAUGUUUUAUAGAAAGAAAUUCAGUCAGAGAAGGGUGCCUGGGCGGCUCAGUCAGUUAAGUGUCCGACUCUUGAUCUCCGCUCAGGUCUUGAUCUCAGGAUCACGCGUUCAAGCCCUGAGUUGGGCUCCUCAUUGGGCAUGAAGCCUACUUAAAAAGGAAAUUCAGUCGAAGAGACCAGCAUUAAACAUUUAUAUUUGAGAGUAGAAAAUAGUUAAGUCUUUCCCAAAAUGUGGGAUACAUAACACUUGUUCAAGAGAUGAAUUUAGGUGAUACAAGGACCCUGAAUGAACAUCGAAGCAAGUCAGAUUUCUCUCGGGAGAAGAACUUAGUUUGGCUGUCGCGGUUCUUGAUAGGCUGUCUAACGGAUGCGACUCUCCCACUUCCCCAGGUGUCAGGCUCAGCCUCCUGUUGGCAGCAUAGUUUCACGUCCAACCGUUGUCCAUUUAUGGCAGUGACCCUUUACUUUUAACGUUUUUUUUGGGGGGGGGGGACAGAGAGAGACAGAGCAUGAACGGGGGAGGGGCAGAGAGAGAGGGAGACACAGAAUCGGAAACAGGCUCCAGGCUCUGAGCCAUCAGCCCAGAGCCCGACGCGGGGCUCGAACUCACGGACCGCGAGAUCGUGACCUGGCUGAAGUUGGACGCCUAACCGACUGCGCCACCCAGGCACCCCCCCCCUUUACUUUUAAAAUAGACAUAUUAAGCAGAGCCUUUGGAAAUCAUGUAAUAGUGCAGCUGGAACACACACAUCACAUAUAGUGAUUGGGGACACAGGGGCAGCGGGGGGGGUGGUGAUGGUGGGAUGUAAGUGACCAAAGUUUAGGGAGCAUCUACACAAACCAAAAUGGGUGAGAUCGUGCAAGCAGAGUGCAGAGCUAGAAGACAAGGAGGACAAGAUCAGGACUUAGGGAAAUGCUAUCUAAAAACUAGAGGAGGUAGAGAAACCCCAGAAAAAAAUGGUCAGAGGUAGAAAACUUAGUUCUUAGGAGAGAAAAAGUCAAAGGAAGUGUGUAUUUCAAGGUGUUGUCAAAUGUUUAACAGGUUUAUAACCAAGAAAAGUUGCCAUUUACCAAUUAGGACAUUUGGAGGUUUCGGGGGGGUUGUAAUACGCAGCUUCUAAGGGCUGAAGAAUAAACUGAGUGAUGAGGAGGUGGAGGAAGGAAAUGCCAGUUUAGUCAAAGGUGAAAGAAAAUGGAAGAGGGUGGGGCCAGCGUCUUGAAGAGAGAAGCAAGCCUGGGGAUGAGCAAGUUUACAGACCAAGAUUGAACAGCCAGUAGGAACAGGGGGGAAGAAAGUAGGAAAGAAAGGAGAGGAAAGGAGGCACUGUCCUAAACAUUUAUACAGAUGAGAAACUACAUCGUGUCCAGCCUGGAAACAUGGUAAAUAUAUGCUUGAGUGUGGGCCCAUGUGCUCUCAUGAUUAAGGCGAUGUAAUGCUCUGUGCAGAAUCCUUAUACAUAUGGCACACUGACACAUUUCCAUUAAUCCCCAAACAUGCAUCUGUGGGGAUGGCCUCAAAUUUCCAGACCAGAUCCACACCACCCCGUAAGUUAUCAAAGGGAAACUAUUUUUUAAAGGUUUCCAGAUUUUCCAGUUUCCAAAAGAAGGUGAAAUACAGAGAUUAAGGAGGUAUAACUACCAGGAGUCACAUCCAAGUCUCAAAUUCAAAGACUCUGAACCCACCCCAACCAGCCUGUGGCGAGGCAUCGGAAACCAGAACCUCUGCAGUUGAGCACUGAAAGCAGUGCCAUCUAGUGGCAAGUAUGCAGCAGGUCAAGUGAAGUUUGGGGGUAUGGGCAGCUUUAGUAGAAGGUAAUCGUUGUCAUCUUCAGGCCAUGUUUUGGCCACAAAGCAUGUUCUGACCACAGAGCGUGUUUCGGGUUUGCCUUUCUUAACUGCUAAAAACCCAAGGGCAGCUACCAAAAGCUAGGACUCCAUAACUUUAUUUUUACAUCUUCCACCAAAAUCUUGGGCUGUAAGAGCUUCAGUAUGCAGAGUACUUCUGCAGUCAAAUCUAUGCUUUACAAAAUGUCUCUAGAGUCACAAGAGGCAGAGAGGGGAGAGGCCUAAGGAACAAGAGUCUACCUAUUUCAAGCCUUUAGAAUUUUGAGAUGUGACACUUUUCUUAGGCUUGUUGAAAUAUAAAUACAGGACACUUCCUAAGAUUUUUCUGAUGCAGGUCAUGAAUGAAAAACUUCAACACUGCAUGGAGCUGACAGAUCUAAUGAGGAAUCACCUGACUGAGAAGAGGGCACUCCGCCUGGAGUGGAUGAUCGUCAUUCUGAUCACCAUCGAGGUAAUGUUUGAAUUGGGACGAGUAUUUUUCCUGAUCAAGUGAUGGCCAAAGAAAAGCAUCAGUGCAAGGGAUAUUAAAGUUCUGCAAUCAAAAAUAAAUGCUCACUGUUGGGGGAAUCUCUUA